rnacentral:lncRNA from 10 species
GGGCUUCUAGAGGUCUCCUUAUCCACCCACCCCUCUCCCCUCAUUUUGUACAUUGUGAAACUGAGACCAAGAGAGGAAAGGGGAUUUCUCAACGUUACCAACCAAUAAGCGGAAAUCAGCCGUGGGUAACCGCAACCUCACCAUUCUCUUUUGCCCCAGUUCUCUGAGGGCUUUGGAUUUGAAUUCGGCUCUGCUGCUAACUUGGGCAAGUUCCAUAGCCUCUCCAAGAUUCAGAGACAUAUUUUUUAAGUAAUUAUAAUAAUUUUAUUUAUCGUAAAAUUUGGAAGGAAUAAAUAAAAUGAUGUAAUGUAAAACUCCUUGUAAGGCAUCCUGAGUGCAUGAGUUGCCAUAAUAGAUGUAAAUACCUAUCCUUGUCAAAAAAGAAAUCGUUUCACCAAAAUGAAUUGAAACUCUAUGACACAGGUCUCAAACUCAGAGGCUGCUGGGAGCCAGCCAUUUAAAUAAAGCCGUCUGGAUAUACAACAGGGACUUCUAAGGGUGGCAGCAAACUGCAGAGCUCACAGCCAUGGGAGAUAAGCAACGUUUAACAGGAGAAAAUUCAAGCCCAGGGUUGCCAGAUCUUCCCAGAGAAGUUGGAAAUCAGGGAUUUCAUGUGCAAAUUUCUUAUUUUUAAAAAUAUUAUACAGAUGAAAUAAAACCCAGGCCAGCAGCUUGUUAUGCCUGCUUUUAAAAAGCUAAUUUUAGAGUUCCAUAUGCAGAGACACAC